rnacentral:rRNA from 1 species
AGUGAACGCUGGCGGUAGGCCUAACACAUGCAAGUCGAACGGCAGCACAGUAAGAGCUUGCUCUUACGGGUGGCGAGUGGCGGACGGGUGAGGAAUACAUCGGAAUCUACUUUUUCGUGGGGGAAAACGUAGGGAAACUUACGCUAAUACCGCAUACGACCUACGGGUGAAAGCAGGGGAUCUUCGGACCUUGCGCGAUUGAAUGAGCCGAUGUCGGAUUAGCUAGUUGGCGGGGUAAAGGCCCACCAAGGCGACGAUCCGUAGCUGGUCUGAGAGGAUGAUCAGCCACACUGGAACUGAGACACGGUCCAGACUCCUACGGGAGGCAGCAGUGGGGAAUAUUGGACAAUGGGCGCAAGCCUGAUCCAGCCAUACCGCGUGGGUGAAGAAGGCCUUCGGGUUGUAAAGCCCUUUUGUUGGGAAAGAAAAGCAGCAGGUUAAUACCCCGCUGUUCUGACGUUACCCAAAGAAUAAGCACCGGCUAACUUCGUG